AAUGAACGCUGGCGGCGUGGUUAAGACAUGCAAGUCGAACGGUUCUUAUUGAAACGCAAGUGGAUAUAAGAGCAGUGGCGAACGGGUGCGUAACACGUGAACAAUCUACCUCCAAGUGGGGAAUAGUUCGGCGAAAGCCGAAAUAAUACCGCAUCAGGUUGGCCCUCGCAUGAGGGUCAUACCAAAGUCAGGGACCGCAAGGCCUGACGCUCGGAGAGGAGUUCGCGGCCUAUCAGCUAGUUGGCGAGGU
rnacentral:rRNA from 1 species